GUCCUGGCUGAAUGGUGACUUUGGCCCGGCACGUGCGGGGCGCAAGAACAGGACGCACUGGGCUGUGCAGACGCACUGGAGACACAGUGCGCAGAGCUGGCGCAGGAUAUCCUGGGCCGUAGAGACGUACUGGAGGUCUGGAGAGCAGGACUGGGACAAUCCUUUCUGGCUGGAUGCUCACCCUAGCCCGGCAGAUGCGGGGAGCUAAGAACACGUACUGGAGACUAAAAGUUUCUCCCCCAAAAGUGUUUUGGCACCCCUUGAAUUGUAAAAAAAAAAACAUCAACGUGGGCACCCCCAUCAGUGUACCUCCUAGAGUCAAUGUGUAAUUCCAACCCUGAUCAAAAAUAACAUUACUAUGUUAACCACCAGUGAUUGGUAGAUUCCCUGGCCUAUUUGCUCAGGUCUAGGAUCGGUUUGUUACUCCAAUCCUAACCGUAACCAUGAGGUAAAAACAAAAAACUGACCUUAGAUCAGUGAUCAGGGGCAACUUCAUCCUCUACCAUCUGAUUGUUGCUCUGACUGUGUGAUAAUUGCCCACUUCGUAAUCGACCCUUUGUCCCUACAUUAUGCACUUUAGAUUUAGAACCAACAGCCUCGCUUGCCAGGCUUAAUGCUAAAGACACAUGGUUAGGAAUGAGACCAAAGAGCUGAGAUGAUUGGCUAGGUGUAAGGAAUAUGGCAAAGGUUCACCCAGCCCACACCAUACUGCCAAUAACUAUCUCAUUAUUUCACAUCUAGAAAACGUGCAGAGGAAAAUGAUAAAGGGUCGGUUCGGGGCAUGAUUGUUGCCCUUUUAACAUGAUUGUGUCUGUCUGUGAUGUGAUCGUUUGUGUUUCCUGGUCACAUGACACUGUGUUUUCAUCACAACAGCUCCACCUCUAGCUGGGACGUCCUACCCAGUGUCCGGCCCGCCCCCGUUUUCAGGACUAUGGAGCCAGGGAAGGAGCUGAAACCGGACGUGGCCCUCAACACGACCACUGAACCAGGAAAAAAAGAAGAUCCUGUCCCCCCCUCAGUCUGAGACCAAUCAGAGACCUCCAUAAACAUGUCACACAAUUUGUAAUUGAAGACUGUAUAGUCCAAACCAUGUGAUUCUGAAAUCAGCCCUGCACAUUCCUUGCCAGUGGAAAGCCUGUGUGUGUGUGUGUGUGUGUGUGUGUGUGUGUGUGUGUGUGUGUGUGUGUUGCUUGUCUGAAUUCAGCUGUAAAUACAUUAAGCAUCAAAAUAAAAGAGUUGAAUGACGAUGUUGCUUGGGUCAGUGUGAUG
rnacentral:lncRNA from 13 species